rnacentral:rRNA from 1 species
UGGGGAAUAUUGGGCAAUGGGCGAAAGCCUGACCCAGCAACGCCGCGUGAAGGAAGAAGGCCUUCGGGUUGUAAACUUCUUUGACCAGGGAAGAAAAAAAUGACGGUACCUGGAAAACAAGCCACGGCUAACUACGUGCCAGCAGCCGCGGUAAUACGUAGGUGGCAAGCGUUGUCCGGAUUUACUGGGUGUAAAGGGCGUGUAGGCGGGACUGCAAGUCAGAUGUGAAAUACAGGGGCUCAACCCCUGAACUGCAUUUGAAACUGUGGUUCUUGAGUGAUGGAGAGGCAGGCGGAAUUCCCAGUGUAGCGGUGAAAUGCGUAGAUAUUGGGAGGAACACCAGUGGCGAAGGCGGCCUGCUGGACAUUAACUGACGCUGAUGCGCGAAAGCGUGGGGAGCAAACAGG